UUGCUACACAAACCAAGGUACCUGGGGCUGGAGUGUCACUUAGAGGGCCUGCGUGGGGAAGGCCACGAGCUCAGCUGCACACAGCCAGCUGGCCCAUCAGCAGUGUGGCACCAGACAGACUCGGAUGAGGAACCAGAGUGCCGGCAGCCACAUGUCCUGGCAUCUUUGUGUCUCGACGAAGUGAUACAAUUUCUAAUUGGAAACCGCCCGCCUGCGGAGACACUGAGCCAGGGUCGAGAGAGAUCCAGAUGCUUUCUUCGUGGAGUCUAGAAGACAGACACAACCCCUGUCCGUCCUGGCCAGUCCGGAUGUUUCCUCAGCCAUGAUCCUGGGGGAAGGAGCACAGGCCAGGGUCAAGCAAGAUCUGAGCUUGUAGUUCCAGCCAUGAGACCCUCGAUCAUGGCCAUCAGCUUCCCUUUCUGCUCCUGUGGAUCACAUCUGGGAAACGGAGGAUUCAGCUCAGCAGGGCCUAACUGCCCUCCUUCCAGUCUAAAAUCCCAUCGUCAUUAUCUUCAAGUGGGCCACGGAGGCCACAGGAGAAGUCCUCCUCAAAUUAAGUCCUUUCCCAAAUGUGCUUAAUCUUGGCUACUAGUCCCUCAAAUCCUUCCACUUAGACAAGUCUGUCUCCACCUUGGCUCCUCAUAAGAUCACCUGGGGAGCUUUGAAAAGCUCAACACCCAGGCUGUAGCCCAGGACAAUUAUAUCAGCCUCCCUGGAGGUAGGGCCCAGGCAUCGUGUGUGUGUGUGUGUGUGUGUGUGUGUGUGUGUGUGUGUGUU